GCUCCCUUGGCCUAGAGGUUAAGGCGUCGUGCUUAUAGGUGACCUAUCCUAUACAGGAGCACUAAACGCGAAGUACGCGGGUUCGAAUCCCGCAGGGAGCA